rnacentral:rRNA from 1 species
GAUUUCUGGCGCAGGUUGCCUGUCCCGGCCUUUCGGGGCUGUGUUGAUGGGUUGACCUGUCCAUCCUUCUAGAAAACAGUUCUACCCUUUACUGGUGUGGGGCUGCAAUCUAGAUCUUUUACUUUGAAAAAAUUAGAGUGUUCAAAGCAGGCUUACCGCUGUGAAUACAUUAGCAUGGAAUAAUAAGAUAGGACUUUGGUUCUAUUUUGUUGGUUUCUAGGACUGAAGUAAUGAUUGAUAGGGAUAGUUGGGGGUGCUAGUAUUCAGCGGCCAGAGGUGAAAUUCUUGGAUUCGCUGAAGACUAACUUAUGCGAAAGCAUU